rnacentral:rRNA from 1 species
GAUGAACGCUGGCGGCGUGCUUAACACAUGCAAGUCGAACGAAGCAACUGGACGGAAGUUUUCGGAUGGAAGACCAGUUGACUGAGUGGCGGACGGGUGAGUAACGCGUGGGCAACCUGCCUCAUACAAGGGGAUAACAGUUAGAAAUAGCUGCUAAUACCGUAUAAGCUUACAGUAUCGCAUGGUACAGUAAGAAAAACUCCGGUGGUAUGAGAUGGGCCCGCGUCUGAUUAGCUAGUUGGUAAGGUAAUGGCUUACCAAGGCGACGAUCAGUAGCCGACCUGAGAGGGUGACCGGCCACAUUGGGACUGAGACACGGCCCAAACUCCUACGGGAGGCAGCAGUGGGGAAUAUUGCACAAUGGGGGAAACCCUGAUGCAGCGACGCCGCGUGAAGGAAGAAGUAUUUCGGUAUGUAAACUUCUAUCAGCAGGGAAGAAAAUGACGGUACCUGACUAAGAAGCCCCGGCUAAUUACGUGCCAGCCGCCGCCGUAACAC